UACAGAGGGGGCGAGCGUUGUUCGGAAUUACUGGGCGUAAAGGGCGCGUAGGCGGCCCGCUAAGUCGAACGUGAAAUCCCCAGGCUCAACCUGGGAACUGCGUCCGAUACUGGCAGGCUUGAAUCCGGGAGAGGGAUGUGGAAUUCCAGGUGUAGCGGUGAAUGCGUAGAUAUCUGGAGGAACACCGGUGGCGAAGGCGGCGAUCCUGGACCGGUAUUGACGCUGAGACGCGAAAGCGUGGGGAGCAAACAGG
rnacentral:rRNA from 1 species